GAGAAGGACUUUAAUUAGCUCUUGAUUGGGCUAAAUGUGCCACCAAAGUGAAAAGGAAGAGGCUUGUUCUCUAGGAGAACAAGAUUUAGUUCUUGUCUGGCAUAUUUAAUGGGUCAACAGACACUCAGUAGAACAAUCUCUUCCACUCCUUUCCCUCUCCCCCUCAAGCCUUUGGAAACGAGCUUUAUCAAAAUUAAAGCUAGAUGCUGCUGUCAGGGGAUGGCCUAAUGAAUUAAAUUGGAAUACCCAGGAAACAAACUUGAAAUCCUUUCCAACCAGAGGUGGUGAUGUACAGGAGCACGUCCUAUCUCUGGGGGGCAGAAUCCUAAGAAGAAAAUGGCCUCAGGCUCUGUCAGAGUGCCUGGUAUAGGAGGAUGCUAACUUCAGCCGGAGUUGGAAAUGAUAGCACUGGCUUUUCCCUGGUUCCAGAAAGGGGGGGAGGGGGAGGGUCGCAAUCUUUUUUCUGUGUAUGUUUGGUUAUAUUUUUGAGACGGGGGGCCUCCCCACCAAAUGCAUUCCAGGUUCGUAGUUCCAUUGCUCUCUGAAGGGGCUUGCUGGGGAAUGCUUUAGAAACUUGAAGGUAACUCAUUGUCUGUGGAGGUGAAAACUGCACGUCCUAUGCCAAGGUCAUGAAUGAAUUUCUCUCUAAUUCGCCAGUUGCCCAAAGCCCCAGAGUCCUGCCUCUUAUUUUUAUUCAUGCCUUUCUCUCAUGCCGCCGCAGAUGGCCUUUCUUCCUUUCUGCCCCCCCCCCCCCCCCCCCCCCCCCCCCCCCCNGGGGGUUAGCCUGUGUCUACUUCAAAGAAUCUGCAGCCCAGCUUGGCUCUUACUCCUUUGCCUGUGUCUUCACUAGACUGCUUAUUGUAUACGAUGUAUUCUGGGGAGAGUAUCUCAUUUUUGACUUCUCGGUGACUAGCUUCAGGAACACAGGGUUGAAUGGUGAAUGAAUGAAUGAAUGUCUUCCUUAUCAAUUUCAUCCUCCACACGGUGUUAAAAUACUCUAAUUUGCAUUACCUAAACCUGUUCAGAAUGCAUAUGUGACCUGCUUCCUGAAUUAGGCUAUCUUAUGACCAGACCCCUUGGAAUGAAUCUUCAGUUGCCUGUUACAUUUUCGUGAACUUGUGUGUGGUUUGAAACCAUUCCUUUUCCUUCUGAAAGCUUGGAAGGAAACUUGGAUAUUCAGGAGAAGAAAGUAGAUGCCCCCAUCUUCCACCUCCCCACAGGCCCUGGGGGGUCCCUGCCCUGGCUUUGCACACAAGGGCAUCCUUGAGCCUGUCCCAAGGGAGGAGAAAGGGAGGGGCACAGAGGCAGUCAACUGGUGGCCUCCAGGUAGGCUUUUCCUGAUAGGGAAGGAGGUGGCAGUAGAGAGAAUGGCCACUCUGUGAGCAUGGACCCAGCUGGCACUGGGACAGAACCAGACUCGGACAACCCAGUUCCUGUGAGAAAGAACAAGUCUUCGCACACACACCUGAAAAGAGUUCUAAUCUGUCCCCUAACUCUUGCCAAGGCCCCUCUCCAGAGCCUCUGCUGCUCUUGAUGCUGGCAGGUGGCAAAAUGAAAGCAGCAAGCUCUCCCCGUUAUGGCACUGCCACCCAAUUCCACAAAGCGCCCUUGAGCUAUAACCUGUUGACAGCUGAAUCAUCAAAAUAAAUAGCGAUUAUUUUCCCAGCAACAAAAAGAUCAUAGUCUCAAAGAUUCGGUAUUUCUUCAUAUGAAAAGAAGCAAAGGGCAUCAUUAAGGUCUUCGGAUGCCCUGUCUACAGCUCUGUGAUGGCAUCUAAUACUCCAAGGCCUAAAUGUCUUUAAAAGUUUAAGUGACUAUUCAACUCCUGGAUCGAGAGCAGCUUGGGGAAAGGACCUGGCCUCCUCUUCUGUGUCCCCAGAGCCCAGUACAAUACAAGAUGCAAAGUCACAACGCAACUUAUGUCUGUCCAGGGAAUGGCAGAUGACACAGGGAAGUGUGUGUGUGUGGUGGUGGUGGGGGGGGACAAACAUGGACCCGUCCACAAAGCCUAGAAUACCAAACUAGGGAGUGGCUCCUUGCAUCCUGAAGGAGACAGCUGUCAGAUGAAAAAGGGCAGGGAACUUGACAUGGCAUUGAGUCGCUCAUUCAGCAAGCUCUGCUGGACUUCCUUUUGUCCCUUCUCUUGGUAGGCAGUACUCACAGAUCACCACCAGGAUGAGGCUUGGGUUCACCUCAGCCACAGACUAACUGGACCACUGUGGGCAUGUAUGUUCUUUAAGCUUUCAGGGCUUCGGUGUCCUUAUUAGAACAAAGAGGACACUGGUUUCCAGUUCUAACCACCACUGUCUUCCAAUUCAACGAAGUAUACACCUAGCAGAAAACAUGGAUUUAAGGAGUGUUCAGAAAAGAUGUGUAGAAUAGCCAUGUACAUAUGGUAACUGCUAUACCUCCUGUGGGGCUGCAUGGGACACUGGACAGGCCCUGAGCAGUGGCUGUCACAUGCAAGAUACACACUGUUCUAAGAUGAAAUGAUUAAUUGGUUCUCACGGGAGUGGGUCCCAAAGCAGAGUAGGGCCUGUCUCAUGGGGACAAAAACAUCUUAAUGUGGCCACUGGGGUUCUCCACUGCCUCCUAGCACUUCCAAGUGGAGCCUUUCAUCUUGCAAGCCACAGUUGGAGUUACUAAGUGUCCCCAGGAAUGCUUAUAGCAGAAAGCCAGUGGAAUCCUCCUGGAGGGAGUUGGAGAGAGAAAGGCUGGGCUGGCCAAGGACACUGUGCUCAGAGAUUGGAGCCACAGGGCUGGAUUAGACUCUGCUUUCCACUGUGUUCCCCUUAAAGAUCUGCAGAAAGAGUGGGUCCCCAGCCGUGAAUGCUGAACAGGUCCAGGCAGCGAUCAUAAUAAGCUGCUAUGUGAGCCAACCUAGUAGAAAAGACACAGAAUGCCCUUACGUCGGCUCCCUGUUUAAUUCCAGCUGAGCUGAAUCUCAGGGCGAGCAGGAGUGAGGCGCAGGAGCCCAUGAGGCCAUCCUUGAAUUGUGGCUGAGCCUGGGAACCGUUUGGAGCCUGGAGGCUCUGGGUCAGCCAGGGCUGUAGCAGUUGGCCGGGUCAUCAGGUUGGCUGGUCCAGGUCUGGAGGGUUUGACCACCAUCUUCCUAACCCCACCCUGCAGCUUAGAUGUUCCUUCCCUUCUCCUUCACUUCAUGGUCCCAGGGUUCUGGAAUAUGUGGCUUUCUCUGCAUUAGGAGGGCUCACAGGGAAAGAUGGUCAUGUGACCCACCCCUCUCCGAUUCUAUGGCUUUCUCCCCGAAUCCUUUGACAAAGCACACGGGUAGGGGGGAAGGAUUUUGACCCCAUGUGGGUAUGAUGAACCCAACUUCUCCAUAUAGCCUCUGUCUUGAAGCAUGAGGGAGGGUUUGUGGCAUAACCAGGCCCAGGAAGGACACAGAUAAAGGAGAGAACCUCAGGUUUAUGAGACGCGUUGUCAGCUGUGGCUGCACGAUCAGACCACUCCAGAACCUUCCUCACUGCUUACCUUCUGUGGAAGAGCCCCAGUCCUGGCAUCUUUACCCUGUGUUGUGCGGUUCAAAUGGAAUGGCGCACGGGGUGGGGGUGGAUUUGUGUAACAGGAGAGCCCUCUGCCAACUCUCCAUCAACUCUGCCAUCUCUACCAACUCCCCAGAAAAACACAAAAAAAGGAAUGUCCGUGUAUUAAUUAUUCCAGGGGGGUCUGGUUCUCCUCUUAAGAGUGGCCAAUGCCAGGAGGGAGGAAAUGGGAGGUGGAAGGAGAUGUAGGGCAGGCAGGAAUGGACCUCCUCUUCUCGGGAUGGCAGCCUCUUAAGGCCUUUGCCGUGUGUCAUAGGUAUGUGGGCUGCACGCACAUGGUCCUCUCCAGUAAUGGACUUGGAAUUAUUUUGCAAAGUUUUGCUCACGUGGUUCCCUAUUACAUGUAACUGGAACAAUGAGAAUGGUCCCAAACAGAAUGUGAGCCAGUGAGUGCCCCCUUCUGGAAAUGAUUUCAGACACAUUUAAGUUAAAAAUAUUUUUUGUGCCUUAGGCAGUGCCUGGCACAUGGUAACCACUCAAUACGUAUUUAUUUGCUAAAUGAAAGGUUGAAUGAACUGGUCUCUGAAGGUUGCUCCAACCCUUUCAAUUGGAUUAAAUUUAGCCAACUCACAGGAGAGGUUUUAGUCCAGCAUAAACAGAACGCACUUCUUACUUUUAGCCUCUCAGAGAAAGAAUGUGUUUCAAACCAGACCACCCAGCUGGUCCAAGUAUCCCGGAAGCUGCAUGGAUUUUAAAUGUUCAGAUUUGCCAAAGCAACUCACGCAGAGUUCACGCGUCAUUUCCGGAUAGAAAUUCACUGAAACAUAAGGAAGGAGGACCUAGCAUAUACAUUUAGUAAUCAGCCUGGUAAUGGAUGAAAAUCAGUAGAAACCAAACAGGUUCUAGAAUUUCUGGAAGGUCCCUUAGGCCAUGUAUACGUUUAUUAGAAAGUUGUCUUUUUAUGAUGAAAAGUAGAAGACCCACGUACCAUAACUUUUUACCUAUAAGCACAUGAUUUGCAAAACCUAGAUUGCAUCUGGUUUUAGUUUUCCACAACUAACACUUUCCUAACUAUUCCCUUCAGCUUGAGCAUAGGUUGAACAAUUAAUUACCAUGUGCCUAGCCUUGUGCCGGUUGCUUGGGGAACACUGCAAUCUUUUUAUUGACUCAGGAAAACAAGAACAUUCAUCAUCAGCUAAGUUAUUUAACAACAGAGUGUGAGAAGCAACGUUCAGAUGACAUAUUGGAUAUGAGCACUAAAGGACCAGAAUGUCCUCAGUAAUUACCCAGGACCAGGAGCACUGCUAUAAGAUGAACCUUCUUGCCCAUACCAAACAGAUGCCAAGGCAUUUAGUGAGCGGAAGGAUUGCCUAACAGUAG
rnacentral:lncRNA from 1 species